rnacentral:rRNA from 1 species
AUUGAACGCUGGCGGCAGGCCUAACACAUGCAAGUCGAGCGAGUGGCGGACGGGUGAGUAAUGUCUGGGAAACUGCCUGAUAGAGGGGGAUAACUACUGGAAACGGUAGCUAAUACCGCAUACCAUCGGAUGUACCCAUAUGGGAUUAGCUAGUAGGUGGGGUAAAGGCUCACCUAGGCGACGAUCCCUAGCUGGUCUGAGAGGAUGACCAGCCACACUGGAACUGAGACACGGCCCAGACUCCUACGGGAGGCAGCAGUGGGGAAUAUUGCACAAUGGGCGCAAGCCUGAUGCAGCCAUGCAGCGUGUAUGAAGAAGGCCUUAGGGUUGUAAAGUACUUUCAGCGGGGAGGCGUUACCCGCAGAAGAAGCACCGGCUAACUCCGUGCCAGCAGCCGCGGUAAUAC